GACGAACGCUGGCGGCGUGCCUAAUACAUGCAAGUUGAGCGCUGAAGGUUGGUACCUGUACCAACUGGAUGAGCAGCGAACGGGUGAGUAACGCGUGGGGAAUCUGCCUUUGAGCGGGGGACAACAUUUGGAAACGAAUGCUAAUACCGCAUAAAAACUUUAAACACAAGUUUUAAGUUUGAAAGAUGCAAUUGCAUCACUCAAAGAUGAUCCCGCGUUGUAUUAGCUAGUUGGUGAGGUAAAGGCUCACCAAGGCGAUGAUACAUAGCCGACCUGAGAGGGUGAUCGGCCACAUUGGGACUGAGACACGGCCCAACCUCCUACGGGAGGCAGCAGUGGGGAAUCUUCGGCAAUGGACGAAAGUCUGACCGAGCAACGCCGCGUGAGUGAAGAAGGUUUUCGGAUCGUAAAACUCUGUUGGUAGAGAAGAACGUUGGUGAGAGUGGAAAGCUCAUCAAGUGACGGUAACUACCCAGAAAGGGACGGCUAACUACGUG
rnacentral:rRNA from 1 species